UGGGAACGUACCCUUUUCUACGGAAUAGCCUUUGGAAACGAAGAGUAAUACCGUAUACGCCCUUUGGGGGAAAGAUUUAUCGGAGAAGGAUCGGCCCGCGUUAGAUUAGAUAGUUGGUGGGGUAACGGCCUACCAAGUCUACGAUCUAUAGCUGGUUUUAGAGGAUGAUCAGCAACACUGGGACUGAGACACGGCCCAGACUCCUACGGGAGGCAGCAGUGGGGAAUCUUAGACAAUGGGCGCAAGCCUGAUCUAGCCAUGCCGCGUGAGUGAUGAAGGCCUUAGGGUCGUAAAGCUCUUUCGCCUGUGAUGAUAAUGACAGCAGCAGGUAAAGAAACUCCGGCUAACUCCGUGCCAGCAGCCGCGGUAAUACGGAGGGGGUUAGCGUUGUUCGGAAUUACUGGGCGUAAAACGCACGUAGGCGGAUUGGAAAGUUGGGGGUGAAAUCCCGGGGCUCAACCCCGGAACUGCCUCCAAAACUAUCAGUCUAGAGUUCGAGAGAGGUGAGUGGAAUUCCAAGUGUAGAGGUGAAAUUCGUAGAUAUUUGGAGGAACACCAGUGGCGAAGGCGGCUCACUGGCUCGAUACUGACGCUGAGGUGCGAAAGUGUGGGGAGCAAACAGGAUUAGAUACCCUGGUAGUCCACACCGUAAACGAUGAAUGCCAGUCGUCGGGCAGUAUACUGUUCGGUGACACACCUAACGGAUAAGC
rnacentral:rRNA from 1 species